rnacentral:misc_RNA from 1 species
GAUGAAGAACGUAGCGAAAUGCGAUACGUAGUGUGAAUUGCAGAAUUCAGUGAAUCAUCGAAUCUUUGAACGCACAUUGCGCCCCUUGGUAUUCCAUGGGGCAUGCCUGUUCGAGCGUCAUUUGUACCUUCAAGCUCUGCUUGGUGUUGGGUGUUUGUCUCGCCUCUGCGUGUAGACUCGCCUUAAAACAAUUGGCAGCCGGCGUAUUGAUUUCGGAGCGCAGUACAUCUCGCGCUUUGCACUCAUAACGACGACGUCCAAAAGUACAUUUUUACACUCUUGACCUCGGAUCAGGUAGGGAUACCCGCUGAACUUAAGCAUAUCAAUAAGCGGAGGA